UGGUCUCCUCGUUGCUGCUCGCGAAUGGGUAGAUAAAUGCGGAGGUGCAUCCCUGGUUGUAUCGCAGAGGAAACCGCGGUUCCGUAAGCGAGGGUUUGCACGGCUCGAGGGAUCUGGCCGAGUCACGGGACUGCCAGUAAGUUGCCAUUUGCAAGAUCUGGACCGAUUUUUGAGAAUUUUGGGACGAAGAGUGGUGCUCCAGCAGUGUCAGCAAGCCCAGAUGAUGUACAGAGGUGGUCCCGUCGGAACGUGAGCAAUAGCGGUGCACCCUGGAGUGUAUAUAGAGGUACGGCGGUGCAGGGUGCACCAAGCACGUCAUUGAGCAUCAGUCAUUUUGGGUCCUGUCUGUGGAGUGGGAUCACUGGCGGGGCUGCAGGCAGAUAAACUGUUUGGGUUCUACUUCCCACCUGUAAAGCGGAGCGGGUAUUGCUGGCUGGGUAGUAUGUAUGCUGACUUUGCUGUAUGAUACUUAACUCUGCUGAAGGCUUUAAGCUGCCUCACGGGUUGCUUUGUGUUCAGCUCAGUGCUCCAAGGAGGACUUGCCCUUGUCCAGCUUUGCUGGUGUAGAGUAGAUGUGUCCUGGGUGGAGAGGGGACAGACCAGGAUGCACAAAUGACCAUGUCAGGGGUUGCCACAUGUAGCCAUGGGUGGGUGCCACGUAGUAUACAGUAAUGGAGAGCUGAGGAAUAAAGCUCCUUUGGCCUCAGAACGCCAUCACCUUCCUCAUGGUUCGUUGCAUCGGGCUCCUGCUCUUUGCCGAGACAGUGGAAGAGGGGUUCAGACUCCCCAGGCGCCAAACGAACUCUUACAAAUUACCCGACCUUAGAGGCUGAGCCCUUUUGAAAGCUGUACAUUGAUUUCUUAAAAGUUUGGGGGGUUUUUUAAGAACUCUCUUAGGUGAAGCCGCUUGAAACAGCGGCCUUCACCAUGAACUGAUUGGUUAUGAGGUGACAACUGUCCCCAGGGAGGGCAGGGCAUGGCUGGGGUAUUUAGAGUGUGUCUGGAAUUUUUAUCCUAGUUUGCAGAACCGUUAGUUUUUUGAAGCUUUAACACAUCCGUGUGUGUGGUCAGGGUCCUCUUAAAAUAUCUGACAGAGGGAGACAGGCCUCUUGCAGCAGCUUCUCUGUAUCAGACCAGUCACAGGAGACGACCUGGAAAAAACCAGCUAUCACACACCCUAUCAUGUAAAUAAAUACAUCUUGCAAUUUUUCUAAGCAUCCACAGUCGGCUGUAUAUGCCGGAUGGAUAUGACUGCAUUAUUAUAGUCUGUCAUUUCAGCAUGAAUUCCGACACUAUUUUAAGUGAGUACUAUUUAAUAGGCUGGAAGAAGCCUUUGGAGCUGUUAUUAUCUCUCAUGUAAAUGCACGUUAAAGCAAUUUGAAGAGGCAUAUCAUCUUCCUGACGGACUGUAUCGCUCUUGUGGAAAGGCUGGGGGGUUUGUACCCUGCCACACCGCAGCUACCCACCCCCUGGGAUGGCAAACGGGAGGAGCUCGGACCCCCGGGAUGGCAGACGGAGAGAUGUCGGGCUGCUGCAAGGACCGGCCAAGCUGCUGCUGGGGCUACGGCCACGUGCCUAAGGAUGCUUUGCUUGGCAUGACCCAGUUUUGCGCUGGAGUCUUGAAGACAGAUGAGGGCAGUGGGGUGCCAACAGCAGUGGGACACCCAGGAGAGCCAGGGGCCCCUCCGACGGACCCCCUUCCCCACUCCUCCAGCCUGGCUUCCCCCUCUCUGACAGCGGAACAGCCCGGCAGCUCCAGCGGGGGAUAACCAACUGGGAAAACACCUCUUGCUUAGGAGCAAAAAGUUUUCUUUUUCUUUUUUUAUCUUCUUUUUUCCUCUUUUUUUCUUUUUGUUUUAUCUCUUCCUCUCCUUUCCUUUUUUUCUCCUUUCCUUUUUUCUCCUUUCCUUUUUUCUCCUUUCCUUUUUUCUCCUUUCCUUUUUUCUCCUUUCCUUUUUUUCUCCUUUCC